UGAGGAAUAUUGGGCAAUGCCCGCAAGGGUGACCCAGCAACGCCGCGUGGAGGAUGAAUGUCGUAAGAUUGUAAACUCCUGUUAGAGGGGAAGAAUAGUACCGGUUGGACCGGUAUAUGACUGUACCCUCAGAGAAAGCCCCGGCUAACUACGUGCCAGCAGCCGCGGCAAUACGUAGGGGGCAAGCGUUGCCCGGAUUUACUGGGUGGAAAGGGCGCGCAGGCGGGAUAAAAAGUCAGUUGUGAAAUCCUACAGCUUAACUGGAGAACUGCCUUUGAUACUUUUAGUCUUGAGUUCGGGAGAGAGAGACGGAAUUCCAGGUGUAGUGGUGAAAUACGUAGAUAUCUGGAAGAACACCAGUUGCGAAGGCGGUCUCUUGGUCCGACACUGACGCUGAGGCGCGAAAGCGUGGGGAGCAAACA
rnacentral:rRNA from 1 species